rnacentral:misc_RNA from 1 species
AUUAAAUAUCCUGACGCACCGUUCGACUGUUUAUCCUUAAGAUGUUUUCAUUAUAUUUCAUUACUGACAAAAUAUCCUACCAAUAUAGCGGAAUGUAGAUUCUCACCUUGUUGCAAACUUGUGGACUUUUUUGGACUUUAAAAAAAGAAGACAUCGGUGGUUAAAAGUGCAACUGAUUGUUAAGAAACUGUUUAACUUUUUUCUUGCAAUCGUGUAUUUGCUUUAUAAAGUUAAACGAGUGAGUCGGACAAACCAGUUGACUUUGAGACUAUGCUGAGUUCUUUUGUGGACCGUGGAGAAUCCCAGCAUCUUUCGACCCCCGGGGUGGGCUACCCUGACAGCGGAAUGCUACAAAACCAACAGUACAAUUACUACAAUUCCCAGUCUAGUGGAUACCCUGUGUCCUAUUCCAACGUCGGGAACUUAGCGUCUAGAGAUCUGUUGAUAAGGAGAUCUGAAUUCGGACUGUCAGCUAAUGAUGGGAACGUUUCCGCUCGUUCCGGGAUGCUAUUUCCGGCUUCAUCCGGAUUCCCGCCACAGCAUCAUCAGGAGGUUUCCCCGCACGUGCUUUACCAGGGACUCCGUCCCGAUGUGUCGUCAUAUCACAACCCACGUCAUCAGCAUGUGCAUUCACAAUCCGGGUAUUUCAAUAUGCCGUCAAGCGGAGGGGAUAUGUAUGGACGUAGUGACCAAAUGAGCUUCAAUGCUUCGGGUAGGGUAGAUCAAUAUGAACAUGCCCAGCAGCAGUUUAUGAACCCCAUGAACAUGUUACAAAGUGGUCCGGGACUCUUCCUUCCGUACAUCGGAAGACCAACCAUUAAACAGGAGAGAACAUGCCUGUGGGUGGACCCGGAACAGUCGGACCCCAAGAAGCCGUGCAACAAAAGUGUUUGCUCGAAGUGAAAACCUAAAGAUUCACAAGAGAAUACACACAGGUGAAAAGCCGUUUAAGUGUGAGUUUGACGGAUGUGAUCGCAGAUUUGCAAACAGCUCGGACAGAAAAAAGCAUUCCCAUGUCCACACGAGUGAUAAGCCGUAUAAUUGUCGGGUUCGGGGUUGUGAGAAAAGUUACACGCAUCCAAGUUCUCUCCGGAAGCACAUGAAGAUCCAUGGCGAUGUUUCCCCAACGAUGGAGCGCCAGGACUCUGACGAGGUGUCCGUGUGUAGCGAGAGCACUAACCGAACCACUCCGUCCGCGGAUCACUCCGCCAAAUCCCCGGCAAUGAGCGAUCAGACCGUCGAUAGAAAACCGGAUAUCAAUACCAUAUCCGGCGCAUCACAUUUGGAUCAUAACAUUCAUCCGCCACCGGAAGUUCCAAAAAUGAACGACUGGUUUGUUUGCCACCCUCGGACAUCUGUGAAUCCCGGGAGUAAAGACCACACCCACUUUUCCAGCAUUGCCUCCCUUUCUUCGUUCCAUCCAAUGCCCAUUAUGCAAUAUUCGUGACAUAAAUGUGACUUAUAUAUCAGGGACAUUUAAGUUAUUUUUCUGUUGAAUUUACAUAGCUAAAUAGGUCUUUGGUGUUUUUGAUCAUCAGUUUGUGAAGUUUUUUAUAUGGUGGUAUAUAUACGUGAAUAAAAAAUCUUAUUGAC